rnacentral:rRNA from 1 species
GACGAACGCUGGCGGCGUGCCUAAUACAUGCAGGUAGAACGCACAGGAUGCACCGUAGUUUACUACACCGUAUUCUGUGAGUUGCGAACGGGUGAGUAACGCGUAGGUAACCUGCCUGGUAGCGGGGGAUAACUAUUGGAAACGAUAGCUAAUACCGCAUAAGAACAUUUACUGCAUGGUAGAUGUUUAAAAGGUGCAAAAGCAUCACUACCAGAUGGACCUGCGUUGUAUUAGCUAGUUGGUGAGGUAACGGCUCACCAAGGCAACGAUACAUAGCCGACCUGAGAGGGUGAUCGGCCACACUGGGACUGAGACACGGCCCAGACUCCUACGGGAGGCAGCAGUAGGGAAUCUUCGGCAAUGGGGGGAACCCUGACCGAGCAACGCCGCGUGAGUGAAGAAGGUUUUCGGAUCGUAAAGCUCUGUUGUUAAGGAAGAACGUGUGUGAGAGUGGAAAGUUCACACAGUGACGGUACUUAACCAGAAAGGGACGGCUAACUACGUGCCAGCAGCCGCGGUAAUACGUAGGUCCCGAGCGUUGUCCGGAUUUAUUGGGCGUAAAGCGAGCGCAGGCGGUUAGAUAAGUCUGAAGUGAAAGGCAGUGGCUCAACCAUUGUAGGCUUUGGAAACUGUUUAACUUGAGUGCAGAAGGGGAGAGUGGAAUUCCAUGUGUAGCGGUGAAAUGCGUAGAUAUAUGGAGGAACACCGGUGGCGAAAGCGGCUCUCUGGUCUGUAACUGACGCUGAGGCUCGAAAGCGUGGGGAGCGAACAGG